rnacentral:rRNA from 1 species
GGGUGGUAAUGCCGGAUGCUCCAUCAUACCGCAUGGUGUGUUGGGAAAGCCUUUGCGGCAUGGGAUGGGGUCGCGUCCUAUCAGCUUGAUGGCGGGGUAACGGCCCACCAUGGCUUCGACGGGUAGCCGGCCUGAGAGGGCGACCGGCCACAUUGGGACUGAGAUACGGCCCAGACUCCUACGGGAGGCAGCAGUGGGGAAUAUUGCACAAUGGGCGCAAGCCUGAUGCAGCGACGCCGCGUGAGGGAUGGAGGCCUUCGGGUUGUAAACCUCUUUUGUUAGGGAGCAAGGCAUUUUGUGUUGAGUGUACCUUUCGAAUAAGCACCGGCUAACUACGUGCCAGCAGCCGCGGUAAUACGUAGGGUGCAAGCGUUAUCCGGAAUUAUUGGGCGUAAAGGGCUCGUAGGCGGUUCGUCGCGUCCGGUGUGAAAGUCCAUCGCUUAACGGUGGAUCCGCGCCGGGUACGGGCGGGCUUGAGUGCGGUAGGGGAGACUGGAAUUCCCGGUGUAACGGUGGAAUGUGUAGAUAUCGGGAAGAACACCA